rnacentral:rRNA from 1 species
AUUGAACGCUGGCGGCAUGCCUAACACAUGCAAGUCGAGCGGAGCGGCGGACGGGUGAGUAAUGCCUGGGAAUCUGCCUGGUAGUGGGGGAUAACGUCCGGAAACGGGCGCUAAUACCGCAUACUAUCAGAUGAUCCUAGGUCGGAUUAGCGAGUUGGUGGGGUAAUGGCUUACCAAGGCUAUGACCCGUAACUGGUCUGAGAGGAGGAUCAGUCACAUGGGAGCGGAGAAACGGUCCAAACUCCUACGGGAGGCAGCAGUGGGGAAUAUUGGACAAUGGGCGAAAUCCUGAUCCAGCCAUGCCGGGUGUGUGAAGAAGGUCUUCGGAUUGUAAAGCACUUUAAGUUGGGAGGCGUUACCAACAGAAUAAGCACCGGCUAACUACGUGCCAGCAGCCGCGGUAAUUC